rnacentral:rRNA from 1 species
AUGAACGCUAGCUACAGGCUUAACACAUGCAAGUCGAGGGGCAGCAUGAACUUAGCUUGCUUCAAUUGCCGGCGACCGGCGCACGGGUGAGUAACGCGUAUCCAACCUUCCGUACACUCAGGGAUAGCCUUUCGAAAGAAAGAUUAAUACCUGAUGGUAUGAUGAGAUUGCAUGAUAGCAUCAUUAAAGAUUUANCGGUGUACGAUGGGGAUGCGUUCCAUUAGGUAGUAGGCGGGGUAACGGCCCACCUAGCCAACGAUGGAUAGGGGUUCUGAGAGGAAGGUCCCCCACAUUGGAACUGAGACACGGUCCAAACUCCUACGGGAGGCAGCAGUGAGGAAUAUUGGUCAAUGGGCGAGAGCCUGAACCAGCCAAGUCGCGUGAGGGAAGAAUGGUCUAUGGCCUGUAAACCUCUUUUGCCAGGGAAGAAUAAAAGGUACGUGUACCUUCUUGCCAGUACCUGACGAAUAAGCAUCGGCUAACUCCGUG